UCAGCACGACAUCGAUGGCGACGUCAGCAACAACUGGCGUGUGGAGGUAGACUGACGAAAGUCAGCCCGGCGUAAGCCGCGAAUGGGUAACACCCAGGGUGCCUUGCAACAAUUCAACAUUUCGCCCCCGAUGCACAGAUGUCUGCUG
rnacentral:sRNA from 22 species